rnacentral:lncRNA from 1 species
GUAACCAAGUGUGGAACUCCCAUUUUGAGGGCCUCGGCCUAACUUGACCGUGGCCUGCGGGCCAGCCGUCACGACGAGCAGAGGACCCACCGGCCGGCCGACGAGUCCAUCUGCACUGCACGUGUUUGUUUCGCCGCACGCAUGCUUUGCAUCGGCAGACUGUCGGCCACCCGGCCCGUUUGGAGAGAAGAGGGGAAAAUGGAUUCUGUGUACAGUGUAACUACGGGUGUGUUUGGUUUCGUGGUCACAUUCUAGCCUGGCUAGAAUCCUAG